rnacentral:lncRNA from 1 species
GGGUAUAAAAUUCUGGGAUUUGGGGCAGUCCCAUCCCCGGGAACCACUGGCCAGACCCCAGGGGAUGGCGAUCCCCGAGUUUUGGGUAUAAAAUUCUGGGAUUUGUGAAUUUUUGGAACCUGCCUGCCCCCCAGGUGCGCAUCGAGGGCUCGGUGCGGCGGCUGCCCGAGGAGGAGUCCGAGCGCUAUUUCCAGUCCCGCCCCAAGGGCAGCCAGAUCGGGGCCCUGGUCAGCCGGCAGAGCUCCGUCAUCCCCGACAGGGAGUUCCUGAGGAAGAGGAGCGCGGAGCUGGAGGAGCGUUACCGGGACAGCGCCGUGCCCAGGCCGGACUAUUGGGGGGCAUACACGGUGGAGCCGGAGGUGGUGGAGUUCUGGCAGGGUCAGACCAACCGUCUGCACGACCGGAUCGUGUUCCGGCGGCUGCGGGACCGCGGGGCACCCCUGGGGGCCAUGACCCACCCCGGACACGGGGACUGGGUGUACGAGCGCUUCUCMCCCUGAGACAGCCCCUGAUGCCACCCCCAGGGUGUCCCCAUGGUCCCCAUUGUCCCCAUUGUCCCCUCGGUGUCCUUUGUGGGGUGGAUUCAGAGCUGCCCCUCAGUCCCCAAAUCUGUCUGCAACCACUCCUGGUGGUUAAUUAAUUGUGUUAAUGAUGGUGCAGGGUCUGGUUGUGACCCCAGUGGUGUCACUUUCCCUGUCCCUGUCCCUGUCCCUGUCCCUGUCCUUGUCCCUUUACCUGUCUCCUGUCCCUGUAAUUAAUCACGUUAAUAAUUGUGGAGGGUCUGGCUGUGACCCCCCUGUCCCUGUUCCUAUCUCUGUCCGUGUCUCCUGUCCCUGUAAUUAAUUGUGUUAAUGAUGUGGAGGGUCCGGCUGUGACCCCAGUGACUCCCCUGUCCCAUCCCUGUCCCAUCCCUGUCCCUGUCCGUGUCCCCUGUCCCUGUAAUUAAUUGUGUUAAUUGUGCAGGGUCUGGCUGUGACCCCAGUGAUCUCACUUUCCCUGUCCCCUGUCCCUUUACCUGUCCCUGUCCCAUCCCAUCCGUAUCCCUGUAAUUAAUCAUGUUAAUGAUGUGCAGGGUCCGGCUGUGACCCCAGUGAUGUCCCUGUCCCUUUACCUGUCCCAGUCCCAUCCCUGUCCCCUGUCCUUGUAAUUAAUUGUGUUAAUGAUUGUGCAGGGUCUGGCUGUGACCCCCUUGUCCCUGUUCCCAUCCCUGUCCCUUGUCCCUGUCCCGUCCCAUCUCUAUCCAUGUCCCCUGUAAUUAACUGUGUUAAUGAUGUGCAGGGUCUGUGACCCCCCUGUCCCUUGUCCCUGUCCCAGUCCCUAUCCCCAUCCUUUUACCUGUCCCCAUCCCUGUAAUUAACUGUGUUAAUGAUGUGCAGGGUCUGGCUGUGAUCCCAG